rnacentral:rRNA from 1 species
AUUGAACGCUAGCGGCAUGCUUUACACAUGCAAGUCGAACGAGCGGCGGACGGGUGAGUAAUGUCUGGGAACCUGCCCGGUGGAGGGGGAUAACUACUGGAAACGGUAGCUAAUACCGCAUACCAUCAGAUGUGCCCAGAUGGGAUUAGCUAGUUGGUGGGGUAAAGGCUCACCAAGGCGACGAUCCCUAGCUGGUCUGAGAGGAUGACCAGCCACACUGGGACUGAGACACGGCCCAGACUCCUACGGGAGGCAGCAGUGGGGAAUUUUGGACAAUGGGGGAAACCCUGAUCCAGCCAUGCCGCGUGUAUGAAGAAGGCCUUCGGGUUGUAAAGUACUUUUGGCGGGGAGGCGGUACCCGCAGAAUAAGCACCGGCUAACUCCGUGCCAGCAGCCGCGGUAAUAC